GAUGAAGAACGUAGCGAAAUGCGAUACGUAAUGUGAAUUGCAGAAUUCAGUGAAUCAUCGAGUCUUUGAACGCACAUUGCGCCCCCUGGUAUUCCGGGGGGCAUGCCUGUCCGAGCGUCAUUGCUGCCCUCAAGCACGGCUUGUGUGUUGGGCCUCCGUCCUCCUCCCGGGGGACGGGCCCGAAAGGCAGCGGCGGCACCGCGUCCGGUCCUCGAGCGUAUGGGGCUUCGUCACCCGCUCUUGUACGCCCGGCCGGCGCUUGCCGACACAUCAAUCUUUUUUCCAGGUUGACCUCGGAUCAGGUAGGGAUACCCGCUGAACUUAAGCAUAUCAUAAGCGGAGGA
rnacentral:misc_RNA from 1 species